rnacentral:rRNA from 1 species
UACGUAGGGGCCGAGCGUUGUCCGGAGUUAUUGGGCGUAAAGCGCGCGCAGGCGGCCUCGCGCGCCCGACGUGAAAGCCCCCGGCUUAACCGGGGAGGGUCGUUGGGGACGGCGGGGCUUGAGGGCGGGAGAGGUCGGUGGAAUUCCCGGUGUAGUGGUGAAAUGCGUAGAGAUCGGGAGGAACACCUGUGGCGAAGGCGGCCGACUGGGCCGACCCUGACGCUGAGGCGCGAAGGCGUGGGGAGCGAUCCGG